rnacentral:rRNA from 1 species
UACGAAGGGUGCAAGCGUUACUCGGAAUUACUGGGCGUAAAGGGUGCGUAGGCGGUUGUUUAAGUCUGCUGUGAAAGCCCCGGGCUCAACCUGGGAAUGGCAGUGGAUACUGGACAGCUAGAGUGCGGUAGAGGGUAGUGGAAUUCCCGGUGUAGCAGUGAAAUGCGUAGAGAUCGGGAGGAACACCAGUGGCGAAGGCGGCUACCUGGACCAGCACUGACACUGAAGCACGAAAGCGUGGGGAGCAAACAGG